GACAGAGGGUGCAAACGUUGUCCGGAAUCACUGGGCGUAAAGGGCGCGUAGGCGGUUACUCAAGUCGGAUGUGAAAGCCCUCGGCUUAACUGAGGAAGUGCACCCGAAACUGAGUAGCUAGAGUACCAAAGAGGGUCGCGGAAUUCCCGGUGUAGAGGUGAAAUUCGUAGAUAUCGGGAGGAACACCGGUGGCGAAGGCGGCGACCUGGGUGGAUACUGACGCUGAGGCGCGAAAGCGUAGGGAGCAAACAGG
rnacentral:rRNA from 1 species